rnacentral:rRNA from 1 species
GACGAACGCUGGCGGCGCGCCUAACACAUGCUAGUCGAACGAGAGAUGAGGAGCUUGCUCUUCAAAUCGAGUGGCGAACGGGUGAGUAACGCGUGAGGAACCUGCCUCAAAGAGGGGGACAACAGUUGGAAACGACUGCUAAUACCGCAUAAGCCCACGGCUCGGCAUCGAGCAGAGGGAAAAGGAGCAAUCCGCUUUGAGAUGGCCUCGCGUCCGAUUAGCUAGUUGGUGAGGUAACGGCCCACCAAGGCAACGAUCGGUAGCCGGACUGAGAGGUUGAACGGCCACAUUGGGACUGAGACACGGCCCAGACUCCUACGGGAGGCAGCAGUGGGGAAUAUUGCACAAUGGGGGAAACCCUGAUGCAGCGACGCCGCGUGGAGGAAGAAGGUCUUCGGAUUGUAAACUCCUGUUGUUGAGGAAGAUAAUGACGGUACUCAACAAGGAAGUGACGGCUAACUACGUGCCAGCAGCCGCGGUAAAACGUAGGUCACAAGCGUUGUCCGGAAUUACUGGGUGUAAAGGGAGCGCAGGCGGGAGAACAAGUUGGAAGUGAAAUCCAUGGGCUCAACCCAUGAACUGCUUUCAAAACUGUUUUUCUUGAGUAGUGCAGAGGUAGGCGGAAUUCCCGGUGUAGCGGUGGAAUGCGUAGAUAUCGGGAGGAACACCAGUGGCGAAGGCGGCCUACUGGGCACCAACUGACGCUGAGGCUCGAAAGUGUGGGUAGCAAACAGGAUUAGAUACCCUGGUAGUCCACACCGUAAACGAUGAUUACUAGGUGUUGGAGGAUUGACCCCUUCAGUGCCGCAGUUAACACAAUAAGUAAUCCACCUGGGGAGUACGACCGCAAGGUUGAAACUCAAAGGAAUUGACGGGGGCCCGCACAAGCAGUGGAGUAUGUGGUUUAAUUCGACGCAACGCGAAGAACCUUACCAAGUCUUGACAUCCCUUGACGAUGCUGGAAACAGUAUUUCUCUUCGGAGCAAGGAGACAGGUGGUGCAUGGUUGUCGUCAGCUCGUGUCGUGAGAUGUUGGGUUAAGUCCCGCAACGAGCGCAACCCUUAUGGUCAGUUACUACGCAAGAGGACUCUGGCCAGACUGCCGUUGACAAAACGGAGGAAGGUGGGGAUGACGUCAAAUCAUCAUGCCCUUUAUGACUUGGGCUACACACGUACUACAAUGGCGUUAAACAAAGAGAAGCAAGACCGCGAGGUGGAGCAAAACUCAGAAACAACGUCCCAGUUCGGACUGCAGGCUGCAACUCGCCUGCACGAAGUCGGAAUUGCUAGUAAUCGUGGAUCAGCAUGCCACGGUGAAUACGUUCCCGGGCCU